rnacentral:rRNA from 1 species
GAUGAACGCUGGUGGCGUGCCUAAUACAUGCAAGUCGAGCGAACGGACGAGAAGCUUGCUUCUCUGAUGUUAGCGGCGGACGGGUGAGUAACACGUGGAUAACCUACCUAUAAGACUGGGAUAACUUCGGGAAACCGGAGCUAAUACCGGAUGAUAUUUUGAACCGCAUGGUUCAAAAGUGAAAGACGGUCUUGCUGUCACUUAUAGAUGGAUCCGCGCUGCAUUAGCUAGUUGGUAAGGUAACGGCUUACCAAGGCAACGAUGCAUAGCCGACCUGAGAGGGUGAUCGGCCACACUGGAACUGAGACACGGUCCAGACUCCUACGGGAGGCAGCAGUAGGGAAUCUUCCGCAAUGGGCGAAAGCCUGACGGAGCAACGCCGCGUGAGUGAUGAAGGUCUUCGGAUCGUAAAACUCUGUUAUUAGGUAAGAACAUAUGUGUAAGUAACUGUGCACAUCUUGACGGUACCUAAUCAGAAAGCCACGGCUAACUACGUG